rnacentral:siRNA from 1 species
AGGGAGACUAUGUUGUUGGA